rnacentral:rRNA from 1 species
AUACGUAGGGGGCGAGCGUUAUCCGGAAUUAUUGGGCGUAAAGAGUGCGUAGGUGGUUACCUAAGCGCAGGGUUUAAGGCAAUGGCUCAACCAUUGUAUGCCUUGCGAACUGGGCUACUUGAGUGCAGGAGAGGAAAGCGGAAUUCCUAGUGUAGCGGUGAAAUGCGUAGAUAUUAGGAGGAACACCAGUGGCGAAGGCGGCUUUCUGGACUGUAACUGACACUGAGGCACGAAAGCGUGGGGAGCAAACAGGAUUAGAUACCCUGGUAGUCCACGCCGUAAACGAUGAGCACUAGGUGUCGGGGUCGCAAGACUUCGGUGCCGCAGUUAACGCAUUAAGUGCUCCGCCUGGGGAGUACGCACGCAAGAUUGAAACUCAAAGGAAUUGACGGGG